CCAGGUUGUGUACCCCAAGUCCGAGCUCCUGAGUAAGAGACGCUGGAAACACACACAAGUGCUGGCAGACAGAUUCUGGGCGGCCUUUGUAAGAACCUACUUGCUUGGACUGCAAACCAGAGGGAAGUGGCAAAGUCCCACGCAAGACAUCAGAGUAGGAAUGGUUGUGAUGCUGGUUGACCCCCAGUUACCUCGAUCAUUGUGGCAGAUUGGGAGAGUGGUCACUGUAUUUCCAGGGCCGGAUGGACGAGUCAGAACAGUAGAGGUACAGAUAAAGGACCGCGUGUACACCAGACCUAUCACCCGCUUAGUAGUGCUCCCAGAGAUAACGGAUCAAGAGGACCACCCCGACAAGAAAGAUGGACAGUAAGUCGGCCUUUCCAGGGAGCAAAUUUGGACACAAAUUUGGGGGCGGCAAUGUUGGAAAGACCGACCUACUGGGCAUGCGCCAAGUAGCAGUAUAGCAGCAACGUAGCAGUAAGAUCGGCAGUGGAUGGCGAGUGCUGGAGUGGACUAUGAGGGAAAACCUUAAUGUGUGUAGUGUGCGUCAUUGCUGAGGAUGUGAGUGAUCAUUUAACUGCCUUUUACUUUAUUGUGUGUCGUACUUACGAGUAGCCUGAGUUGUAGGUGACGUAGUGUGAUAAACUUACAGUUAAGUCCGAUCUGUGAUGAGCAGGAACAAUGUUCCCUUUGUAUUCCAAUACAAUUUCUCCCAGUGUAAACUGUGGGCAGACUUCACCCUUCAGCUCACAUACACGUUAGAAUGUUUACCUUGCUUGUGCCAUGCAUGUUAUGGUGAUACUAGUUGUAAGCUAGCGGUUGGCUUGCCGACCCAUUUGCCGAGGGGCAUGUAGCGACAUGUCUCCAUGUUAUGAGCCAUUGUAGCCACUAGAUGGUAGUGUUGCAUUACAUUUGAAUGUGAAUUCCCUAAUACCUGUAGAACUGUAGUGAAGUAGGAGAAAUAGGUAGAAUAGUGCACCUUCCUGACCUGUUGUCAGAUGUUUAGUAAGUUGAUGAUGUUUAUUCAGAUUUAUCUGUUUAUUGAGUUUAUUAAUGUAAAUAUUAUUUCUUUAUUAAUCUUUUUCAGACCACACAUACUAUCACGCAUGCCUACUGAUGUUACUGUGCUGUUCAUAUGCCAAAGCCUGAUUAAAGUACACAACUGCAUGUGAUGGGCUGCUGAGUGUUCUGAUCGACACACCGGGAAGACACCCAAUAUCACCUAUACAGUCCUUUCUGCUAGCGCUAUAUAACAAUACAGUAUGAUAUAAUAAUAAUGCAAACAAAGUUGAUUCCAGUUUUAACAUCUAAAUAACUGUCUGCUAUGUGAACUCCACCCUUGUUUUCUUUUCCAGAAUUGUUUUUUUUUUUAAAUGCUCGUCCUGCUCGUUUCUCCCUCUUUUUCACUUAGAAUGAGUUUAUGGUGACUGCAGUGUUUAAAGCAUAAAGAAACAGAUCAACCAAAAUGAGAUUGAGGCUGUACUAAAUUAUGAAUUUGAUUUUGAUUUAUUGAAUUAAGAGCAAUUUCACAUUUAUGUCAAUAUUCCAUCAGCUCCACUAGACAGCGGAUCAAGGCCAACAGAGGACUCAAGUCUACAAGCUGGUGUUUCCUUUGACUCUGGCCUCAUCGCUGCCAUUGUCAUCAUCACUGUGAUUGUCUUUGCUGUGAUAGGAAUGGCUUUGCAGAAACAGACCGAUACAACUACAAGUCAGGACACGAGCUUAACAAGAUGUCGCAAUUGUUGUGACGAGUUUUCCGAAUGUUUCUGCUCUUUUCUCUCCUGCUGUUGUAACUGUUUUAUGGACUUUUGUCAGGCCUGUGACCACAGUGGCCAAACGUGCUGUGGGAUGUCAGAUUUAUGUCUAGGCUGUUUAUAGAACAGAACAUCCAAAAACAAGAGCUCCUCUGGAUCCUGUGGAUUAGGCCUACUCUCACUACCAUGUGCUCCUCUCUUGUUUCAUUUUCAUUCAUGGUGUUGUUGACUAUUAUAUAUAGUUGGGAGUUUAUCUUUUAUCAUGUAUAAUGUUCAUUAAUUGUUGUUUUCAUGUCUUUGUUCUUGGUUAAUUGUAAUCCAGCACCAUGUCUGUUAAAUAAAGUCCUUAAAAAUGAAACUCACCAUUUCUAAUGUCACAUCUGCAGAAUUAGAAGACGGUGUUUCAGUUAGCUGCUGUUACUGUUAGCGCUUUGCUAAAUUAACAUCACAAGCUGCAUCCACUUAUUGACACACACUCAAAAAGUCAGUGCUUCAUUGUAUCCAAACCCCAACUGACGAAUUUUCUAUGAGUUUCAUUUCAUUACAAAACUUUUCUUUAAAUCACAGCUUGUGAACUUUAUGGAUUUAGUACAAUUUAAAACUGCUCAGGUGAUCUUUAAAGCUGAAAAUGAUGUUUCCACAGAAUAUUCAAAAUUUAAGUAUAGAGAGCGGAGGUAUGAUCUAACUUAGUGUGUUUGCAGCACUCUUAAAAUGAUCUUCAUCAGUUUGUAGAGUGAUUUUGUGGAAUGGUUUAGAUGAUGUCAUUAAGCAAAGUACAAAUAUUACACAAUUCAAGAAAAAAUAUAAGGAGCUUAUAAAUAAUGUGUAUAAAUAUGAAUGAGAUAGAAUGUUUUAUCAUUUCUUAGCUGUAUGUACAUGUACAUUAAGCUCUGAUCUGUAGAUGAUUGAGGAAAUUGUAUUUUCUGGUACUUUGAUAUGUGUAGAUAUAUGUAGCCAUACAUGCAUAUGUCUGUGCAUACAUAUACAGAUGCAUGUAUGGGUUAUAAUAUAAUUAGUCUAAUUAAGAACUUGUAUAAUGACAUAGGGACAGGACUGGAUAAGCUAUUGCUUCUUCCUGCUCCUUUUUCGAACUACUUUCCAACUACUCUCCUUCUUCAGAUUUGUUUACAUAUUUUGCUGGACAUUUUAUGUUGUUAUUAAUGUUGUUUU